GACGAACGCUGGCGGCGUGCUUAACACAUGCAAGUCGAACGGAAAGGCCUCUUUCGGGGGGUACUCGUGUGGCGAACGGGUGAGUAACACGUGCGUAACCUGCCCUUGACUUUGGGUUAACUUCCGGCAACUGGGGCUAAUACCGGAUAGGAGCUCCUGCUGCAUGGUGGGGGUUGGAAAGUUUCGGCGGUUGGGGGUGGACUCGCGGCUUAUCCGCUUGUUGGUGGGGUAGUGGCUUACCAAGGCCUUGCCGGGUAGACGGCCUGUGGGGGUGAGCGGCCAUAUUGGGUCUUAGAGACGGCCCAGACUCCUACGGGAGGCAGCAGGGGGGAAGAUUGCACAAUGGGUGGAAGCCUGAUGCAGCAACGCCGUGUGCGGGAUGACGGCCUUCGGGGUGAAAACCGCUUUCGCUCAUGACGAAGCUUUGUGUGACGGUAGUGGGUAAAGAAGCACCGGCUAACUACGUG
rnacentral:rRNA from 1 species